CACUGCAGUCUGUAAAUAUGUAAACAAUAGGAGCUUGUGGGACAUAUUGACCAGUCUAGUGCUUAUAACAACUUGUGCGAUGAUAUUGCAGUAAGCCGAUAGAACCGAACACGUUUUCGGAUGGCACUGAAGUCGCGGGCCCCGAACGGGUAAUCGUCGGGCUAUCACUGCAACAUUCGGGAACCGUGACUCAUACUUCCGCCACCACUGCAGAGGAUAAAUGUCAUGCACCAACUUCUUGUUUAUAUAAUACUGUAGCUCGUCCACCAAUGUACUCUCUGGCGAGCUGAAGCCCAGGAAGUCCAACUUCCGACGUUUCAAAGUCGCCACCGUUUUCUGCUGUACACUUCAGUGGCAAGUAGUCCAUGGCCGAUCCCACAUAUCCUGUUUGAUCUUCCGUUGUUAAGACGAGAAGAACCCAUAAUUCUUGUAACGCGGAUUUAAAAGAGCGCCCAAUGCAGCAGUGGACCGUGACGUGUCUUUCUAUGAUGGUUGGUUCCGAUUCACCAAAUCAUCUUGGAUCGCGUUUUUCACCCAGUGAGCUAUAGCACUGUCCAUUCAGGAAGACGCAAGACUCUUUGCGCCGAGUCUACACACGUUCGGGUAUAUUUCUGGCACAUAGUGUUAAUUCAUUAAUUUAAUAGGAUGCAUAUAGAAAUCGCAUCGUAUGCCCGUCCGUCAUGGGUACAUGUUGGAGCAUUACUUCCUAAGUGUUAAGGUUUUACCUCAUUAGCAGGUAUAGUUUGUCUAUGUUUUGCACUGCAUCAUGUUAAAUAGUCGUGUCGUUUAUAAAUUAAAAAAUGUCUGUCCCAAAUACACGUAUGUUGUGCCAACGAAAGUGAUUUUAUAUGCAUAUACCGUUAUUGUCUUAUUUGAGAUAAUACGAUAAAGAAUUAAGAAUA